rnacentral:rRNA from 1 species
AUUGAACGCUGGCGGCAGGCCUAACACAUGCAAGUCGAACGAGUGGCGGACGGGUGAGUAAUGUCUGGGAAACUGCCUGAUGGGGGGGGAUAACUACUGGAAACGGUCGCUAAUCCCGCCUCCCCUCGGAUGUGCCCAGAUGGGAUUAGCUAGUAGGUGGGGUAAAGGCUCCCCUAGGCGACUAUCCCGAGCUGGUCUGAGAGGAUGAACAGCCACACUGGAACUGAGAAACGGUCCAGACUCCUACGGGAGGCAGCAGUGGGGAAUAUUGCACAAUGGGCGCAAGCCUGAUGCAGCCAUGCCGCGUGUGUGAAGAAGGCCUUCGGGUUGUAAAGCACUUUCAGCGAGGAGGCGUUACUCGCAGAAGAAGCACCGGCUAACUCCGUGCCAGCAGCCGCGGUAAUAC